CACGCCGUAAACGAUGAUUACUCGCUGUUGGCGAUACACUGUCAGCGGCUAAGCAAAAGCAAUAAGUAAUCCACCUGGGGAGUACGGCCGCAAGGUUGAAACUCAAAGGAAUUGACGGGGGCCCGCACAAGCGGAGGAACAUGUGGUUUAAUUCGAUGAUACGCGAGGAACCUUACCUGGGCUUAAAUGUAGAGUGCAUUUUCUAGAGAUAGAAAUUCCCUUCGGGGCUUUCUGCAAGGUGC
rnacentral:rRNA from 2 species